CACGUGCAUAUGCGCGUGUCUGUGUCUGUGUACCUUACUAUAUGAGUGAAGAAGUCUACGGUGAUUUACUGCAUCAUGUACACCUUCAGGUGGGUCACAUGCAUCAGCUAAAAACAAUUCCAAAAAUAUCUCUAUAUUAAAUAAAAUUGCAAAAGUGGUUCUGUUAGAUCUCCCCAAGAAAAAAGUAUAUACCAUUAUCAACCUCGACUAAGUGAGUACUGUAAGUCAUAGACACACAUUUGAAAAUUCACGUUAUUGCUGCAGAAUAUCAAUAGUUUGAGGAGUUCUUGGUUAUCAAUAUCCAUGUUGGGUUAUGCCUAUAAAUAUAAUUAGAUGCAGAUGCUAUAUAGUUGAAUCAUAGUACAAGGAAUUGGAAUUAAUAAAACUUGUGCAACGGUAAGUAUUAACAGAUGCAUGGAUUCUCAUCCAACGCAUGAUGGUGGGAACACUUCUGAUUUAUAGAGUAAUAGAGUAUUAACGAUUAAGGAUAGUAACAAUGAUAUACGGGGACCCCAUUAUUACAAACUCUCAUUUGAGAUCUCUUAUAUCUUUUUCCUCUCUCUUUUUUUAUAUAUCGUAUUACCUUAAUUAUAUAUCUAUGCACUUUUCUCUUUUUUAUCUUCUUCACUCGUAAGAUUGAUGUCAGGUAGCUUGAGAGAUAUGCAUGCCACACAUCCAUGAUCUCCAACGGAAAUGAAGAGGAAGAAGAGGUGGUGUAAGAAAUAAGAAACUAAAAAAGAGACUAUAGCGGAACAACUCAUGGGACCCCUAGCUUCUUCGGAUAGAAUCAUCCUAAGCAUAGGGGAGGAGAAAGAAUCCUAGUCAAAGCAAAACAACCUUGGUGGCUAAUGUUUGCCAAAAAAUCAGCACUUUUAUUGGCCUCCCUAUAGAUAUGAGAAAUAAAGGGUUGUCAAACUCUCAUCAAAAGCUGAUUCAAAAUACCCUUGAACAAUGGCUUUAACAAGGCUGAUAUGAAAGAACCACGGUGAACAAUGUGAACCACCGCAAGCGAGUCCAUCUCAAAGAUCACAUGAUGAAGGUUGAGCUCCCAGGAAACAUGAAUACGCAUCUUCAAUCGAUAGCAAAGACUGAGAUUAAGAUGGAACGUGGCUCUAGGAUUGCCUAAGGAAUCACAAAUUAGCCCCCCAGAAGCAUCCUGAUUCGAGCUAGAAUAGUAAGAUCUAUCUAUAUUGAUUUUGAACGUCCCAUCAAGAGGUGGUUUCCAUGACACCGAGAUAGUACCUUGGGAAGCAACAUUAUGGCAGAAAUAUAAGGUGAUCCAAAGUCAACGAAAGCAAUACGGGCUUUAAUCUUGUGCAGCAAGUUGAGAGGAAAAUCAAAUUGUUUAUGUCUCUUCAAGGAUUUCUGAAGGUUCAGAGUGAUCCAACUAGAUAGGCCUAUGCCAAUGGUUCAGAUGAAUUAUUGAAGUCAAGAAAGCUUUGGCUACCUCAAUCACGUAAGAAAUGCAUAAUAGACUUCGGAGCGUCAUCGCAUCUAUUCGACAUAUGGCGAUGCUUCCAUUCCUGAUUGAUCAACAAGCAACCAUGCAACAACUUCCAUAAAAGCAACCUACCCUAAAGGCUAACGCUAACUUAAAUGUCAGAAAUAGCGUUAGCUUAAGUCAAUGCUAAGAUCAAAUUAUAUAUAGUGUGUACUUGACCGAUGCAAGUUUUUUUAAAACAUUUUAUUUUAUUUAUGAA